rnacentral:rRNA from 1 species
UACGAAGGGGGGCUAGCGUUGUUCGGAAUUACUGGGCGUAAAGAGCGCGUAGGCGGUCUAUCAAGUUGGAAGUGAAAUCCCCCGAGCUUAACUCGGGAAUGGCUUUCAAAACUAAUAGACUAGAGAAUGGUAGAGGAUGGUGGAAUUCCUAGUGUAGAGGUGAAAUUCUUAGAUAUUAGGAGGAACAUCGGAGGCGAAAGCGGCCAAUCUG